rnacentral:SRP_RNA from 1 species
UAAGAACCUUCAUCCAAUGGAUGGACGUGAACCAGGUCAGGUCCGGAAGGAAGCAGCCUUAAGCGUUUCUGUUCAUGUGGGUGAGGGGUCUUAAGG